rnacentral:lncRNA from 1 species
AUGGAGCACGGCAGUGGCCAAGACAAGUCACGAGCCGCAGCAACGAUGAGCAGAUGGCCAGAGGUCACAACCAGCUGCCAGACCCAGAGGGAUUCUCCUGAACCUUCCUCUUGCAGUCCUCACCAGGAGGGACAAUGCAGACCCAAACAAGAAGAUACGAGCAGAUACAAGUCACAGCUGGAAAACGAGGGGAAUGAUUUACACAUGAAUUUAUUUACACUCUCCGUGCGUGGAACCACGGCCUGCUCUGAAGCCUGGGGGACUUCUGUGGUUGGGCAAUGGAGCUCUCCAGUGGAAGAAGGCUCAGAGAAGAUAGGUGAGGAUGAUGUGCUCAUGAAGCUCAUAAAUACAUGUAGGAAGUAA